rnacentral:rRNA from 1 species
AUUGAACGCUGGCGGCAGGCCUAACACAUGCAAGUCGAGCGAGCGGCGGACGGGUGAGUAAUGUCUGGGAAACUGCCUGAUGGAGGGGGAUAACUACUGGAAACGGUAGCUAAUACCGCAUACCAUCAGAUGUGCCCAUAUGGGAUUAUCGAGUAGGUGGGGUAACGGCGCACCUAGGCGACGAUCCCUAGCUGGUCGGAGAGGAUGACCAGCCACACUGGAACUGAGACACGGUCCAGACGCCUACGGGAGGCAGCAGUGGGGAAUAGUGCACAAUGGGCGCAAGCCUGAUGCAGCCAUGCCGCGUGUGUGAAGAAGGCCUUCGGGUUGUAAAGCACUUUCAGCGGGGAGGCGUUACCCGCAGAAGAAGCACCGGCUAACUCCGUGCCAGCAGCCGCGGUAAUUC